GCUGAUAGAGCUCAGUUGGGACAGUGUUAGACUGAUGAUCUAAAGAUCUCUGCUUCAAUCCCAGAUUUGGGCA
rnacentral:tRNA from 1 species